GGAAGUUUUAAGGCAUCUUGAAACUUUUAAAAGACCCGCAAGGGUAUGCUAAGAGAUGGGCUUGCGGCACAUUAGUUAGUUGGUAAGGUAACGGCUUACCAAGACUAUGAUGUGUAGCUGGACUGAGAGGUUGAACGGCCACAUUGGGAUUGAGAUACGGCCCAAACUCCUACGGGAGGCAGCAGUAAGGAAUUUUCGGCAAUGGAGGAAACUCUGACCGAGCAACGCCGCGUGAACGAUGAAAUAUUUAGGUAUGUAAAGUUCUUUUAUUAAAGAAGAAAAAAUGAUGGAAAAAUCAUUCUGACGGUAUUUAAUGAAUAAGCCCCGGCUAACUAUGUGCCAGCAGCUGCGGUAAUACAUGGGGGGCAAGCGUUAUCCGGAUUUAUUGGGCGUAAAGGGUGUGUAGGCGGUUUAAUAAGUCUAUGGUAUAAGUUCAACGCUUAACGUUGUGAUGCUAUGGAAACUGUUUGACUAGAGUUGGAUAGAGGCAAGUGGAAUUCCAUGUGUAGCGGUAAAAUGCGUAAAUAUAUGGAGGAACACCAGUAGCGAAGGCGGCUUGCUGGGUCUUAACUGACGCUGAGGCACGAAAGCGUGGGGAGCAAACAGGAUUAGAUACCCUGGUAGUCCACGCCGUAAACGAUGAGUACUAAGUGUUGGGUUAAACCAGUGCUGAAGUUAACACAUUAAGUACUCCGCCUGAGUAGUACGUACGCAAGUAUGAAACUUAAAGGAAUUGACGGGACUCCGCACAAGCGGUGGAUCAUGUUGUUUAAUUCGAAGAUACACGAAAAACCUUACCAGGUCUUGACAUACUCUGCAAAGCUAUAGAAAUAUAGUGGAGGUUAUCAGGGAUACAGGUGGUGCAUGGUUGUCGUCAGCUCGUGUCGUGAGAUGUUGGGUUAAGUCCCGCAACGAGCGCAACCCUUAUCGCUAGUUACCAUCAUUUAGUUGGGCACUUUAGUGAGACUGCCAAUGAUAAAUUGGAGGAAGGUGGGGAUUACGUCAAAUCAUCAUGCCCCUUAUGACCUGGGCUACAAACGUGAUACAAUGGCUGUUACAAAGAGUAGCUGAAGCGUGAGUUUUUAGCAAAUCUCAAAAAAACAGUCUCAGUUCGGAUUGAAGUCUGCAACUCGACUUCAUGAAGUCGGAAUCGCUAGUAAUCGCGAAUCAGCAUGUCGUGGUGAAUACGUUCUCGGGGUUUGUACACACCGCCCGUCAAACCAUGAAAGUUGACAAUACUCGAAACCAGUAGCCUAACUUGCAAAAGAGGGAACUGUCUAAGGUAGGGUCGAUGAUUGGGGUUAAGUCGUAACAAGGUAUCCCUACCGGAAGGUGGGGAUGGAUCACCUCCUUUCUAAGGAAA
rnacentral:rRNA from 1 species